GCGUUUUACACAAGGUGUUUGCAAGAUCUGCCAAAUAUUACUAUUAACGAUGUCCACCGCAUCAUUCAAGCCUCCUCUUCUGCACCAAGAAGUAAGCGUGAGAAGGGGUUUAAAAUGUAUGUAUCCAGUUACAUCGAUAACUACGAAGAUCGUCUUUGUGGAUUCAUCCCCUGUUGAGAUGUGCAAUGCUGAGUGUUCAUGUGUGGCUGGAACAGCACUGUGCAAUCAUACUGUUGCACUUCUUUACCAAACUGCGCACUAUUCCCAACUGAACCUUACGGCAGUCCCCCCCGUUCUGAGUUGCACUGAGACAGAACAACGCUGGCACAAGCCAAGAACUAUGGGUGUGAAACCAGGUAGAGUCGGUGAUAUGGUGGUAAUAUCUACCAAGC